UACGAAGGGGGCUAGCGUUGCUCGGAAUCACUGGGCGUAAAGGGUGCGUAGGCGGGUCUUUAAGUCAGGGGUGAAAUCCUGGAGCUCAACUCCAGAACUGCCUUUGAUACUGAAGAUCUUGAGUUCGGGAGAGGUGAGUGGAACUGCGAGUGUAGAGGUGAGAUUCGUAGAUAUUCGCAAGAACACCAGUGGCGAAGGCGGCUCACUGGCCCGAUACUGACGCUGAGGAGCGAAAGCGUGGGGAGCGAACAGG
rnacentral:rRNA from 1 species